GGACUACUGGGGUAUCUAAUCCUGUUUGCUACCCACGCUUUCGUGCCUCAGCGUCAGUGAUGGUCCAGUAAGCCGUCUACACCGCAGGUGUUCCUCCUGAUAUCUACGCAUUUCACCGCUACACCAGGAAUUCCGCUUACCUCUCCCAUACUCAAGCCCUCCAGUUUUCGGCGCACCCUCCCGGUUAAGCCGGGAGAUUUCACACCAAACUUAGAGGACCGCCUACGCACUCUUUACGCCCAGUAACUCCGAACAACGCUCGCUGCCUACGUAUUACCGCGGCUGCUGGCAC
rnacentral:rRNA from 1 species